rnacentral:rRNA from 1 species
UACGUAGGGGGCCAGCGUUGCUCGGAAUUACUGGGCGUAAAGGGUUCGUAGGCGGUGUGGCAAGUCGAGCGUGAAAUCUCUGGGCUCAACUCAGAGGCUGCUUCCGAAACUGCCAUGCUUGAGUGCGGGAGAGGCGAGUGGAAUUACAGGUGUAGCGGUGAAAUGCGUAGAUAUCUGUAGGAACACCCGUGGCGAAGGCGGCUCGCUGGACCGCAACUGACGCUGAGGAACGAAAGCUAGGGGAGCGAACAGG